AGCUCCAAUAGCGUAUAUUAAAGUUGUUGCAGUUAAAAAGCUCGUAGUUGGAUUUCGGAACUGGCCGAUUGGUCCGCCCUCUGGGUUGUGUACUGAUCGGUCUGUUCUUCUUCGCGAGGACCGCGUGUGCCCUUAACUGGGUGGGCGUGGGAUUCACGACGUUUACUUUGAAAAAAUUAGAGUGUUCAAAGCAGGCAUUAGCUUGAAUAUCUCAGCAUGGAAUAAUAAGAUAGGACUUCGGAACUAUUUUGUUGGUUUGCGUUACGAAGUAAUGAUUAAUAGGGACAGUUGGGGGUAUUCGUAUUUCGUUGUCAGAGGUGAAAUUCUUGGAUUUCCGAAAGACGAACUACUGCGAAAGCAUUUACCAAGGAUGUUUUCA
rnacentral:rRNA from 1 species